AGGGAAAGGCGAAAAGAACCCCGGCGAGGGGAGUGAAAAAGAACCUGAAACCGUGUACGUACAAGCAGUGGGAGCACAGGUUUACCUGUGUGACUGCGUACCUUUUGUAUAAUGGGUCAGCGACUUAUAUUCUGUAGCAAGGUUAACCGAAUAGGGGAGCCGGAGGGAAACCGAGUCUUAAUUGGGCGUUAAGUUGCAGGGUAUAGACCCGAAACCCGGUGAUCUAGCCAUGGGCAGGUUGAAGGUUGGGUAACACUAACUGGAGGACCGAACCGACUAAUGUUGAAAAAUUAGCGGAUGACCUGUGGCUGGGGGUGAAAGGCCAAUCAAACCGGGAGAUAGCUGGUUCUCCCCGAAAGCUAUUUAGGUAGCGCCUCGUGAAUUCAUCUCCGGGGGUAGAGCACUGUUUCGGCUAGGGGGCCAUCCCGGCUUACCAACCCGAUGCAAACUGCGAAUACCGGAGAAUGUUAUCACGGGAGACACACGGCGGGUGCUAACGUCCGUCGUGAAGAGGGAAACAACCCAGACCGCCAGCUAAGGUCCCAAAGUCAUGGUUAAGUGGGAAACGAUGUGGGAAGGCCCAGACAGCCAGGAUGUUGGCUUAGAAGCAGCCAUCAUUUAAAGAAAGCGUAAUAGCUCACUGGUCGAGUCGGCCUGCGCGGAAGAUGUAACGGGGCUAAACCAU
rnacentral:rRNA from 1 species